CACCAUAUAUUGAUGUAUGUGUACAUAUACUUGACUACAUGCCGAUAUGAACUUUUCAACAGCAGUACAUAAUAUGGGUUUGGUCCUUGCCAGUUCAUACAUAUACUUGACUACAUGCCGAUAUGAACUUUUCAACAGCAGUACAUAAUAUGGGUUUGGUCCUUGCCAGUUCAUACAUAUACUUGACUACAUGCCGAUAUGAACUUUUCAACAGCAGUACAGAAUAUGGGUUUGGUCCUUGCCAGUUCAUUAUUGGCCCUUCUUCAAUACUGCACAGAAAGCAACCUAGAAAUCCUAGACUUGGC
rnacentral:lncRNA from 1 species